rnacentral:lncRNA from 1 species
GGAGUUCCCUGGUGGUGCAGUGGGUUAAGGAUCCAGUGUUGUCACUGCUGUGGUGCAGGCUCGAUCCCUGGCCUGGGAACUUCUACAUGCUGCAGGUGUGGUUAAAAAUAAAAAUUAAAAUUAAAAAGUCAGUUAGUGGUUAGUGCCUCUGCUCACAAGCUGCAGAUAUGUGAGAAAUGCCCACUACCAGCUUAUACGCUCACUCUCAUUCCACUCAUUUCUUGUCAAGAAAUACCCACUGAGCACCUACUGUCUACAUCACACUUUCUUACUGUUGGAAACAUUGUUAAGAAGCUUGUCUCUGUUCUCAGGGGUUUCCAUCCAGUGAAGGAAGAUGAGGAAAGAGAGGAGUGGACAGGAGACCUAGAUCAUUCAGAGUGAUGAGAUCUGUGAAGGAAAUGGGGCAGACUAAAGGCACAGCAGUUCUGAGACCUCAGACGACCUCACCCGCAAAGCGAGCUGGAUGCAUAUCCACACCCACCUCGGGCUGUAGAGAUGAAGAUGCAGAGACUCAGCAGUGAAGGGGGUCAAGAGCAAGUAUAUCUAGGGGGAAAAAAAGAAGAAGAAGAAGAAGAAGCAUGUCUUCUGAGAAAAAAAACUGUGUGUCUCAAAAAUUCAGCUUGACGAAUUUCACAGACUGACCACACUUUUGCAACCAGCACUAAGAUAGAACAUCUCAGAAACAAAGAGCUUCCCCAUUGCCACGGGCCACUGGUCCCCCCGCAAGAGUAACCACUCUCCAGACCCUGACACCCUUGCCUGGCUUUGAACUGUAUAUAAAUGGGAUGAAAGUAUAUGUUCUCUUUAGUGUCUGACUUUUCCUGCUGACGUUACUGUUGAUAUAUCCUUCUGUAUUGCUACAUGAGGCUGGCAUAGUUUUUUAUCUUUUUUUUAUCACCAAGUAGAAUUGCCACCACCACCACUCAGCGCUCCCCGCAUCCUCCACCCGCCACUCCAGGCAUUGCAGACACUGUCAGUCUUGGCACUUAGCAACAGUGCCACCGUCUAAAUCCCAGCACCUCUGUUUGGUGAACAAAAGCACAUGUUUCUGUUCAGCAUGAACUUUGAGUGGACUCAGGAAUCACAAAGCAAGUCUGUGUACAGCUUUUUAAAAACUUUUGAGGCGUUCCCGUCGUGGCUCAGUGGAAAUGAAUCCGACUACCAUCCAUAAGGACACAGGUUCAAUCCCUGGCCUCGCUCAGUGGGUUAAGGAUCCAGCGUUGCUGUGAGCUGUGGUGUAGUUCGAAGACACAGCUUGGAUCUGGCAUGGCUGUGGCUGUGGCAUAGGCCAGAGGCUAUAGCUCCAAUUCGACCAGUAGCCUGGGAACUUCCAUAUGCCACAGGUGCAGCCCUAAAAAUAAAUAAAUAAAUAAAUAAAUAAAUAAAUAAAUA